AUUGAAGGCAACUGUCCACGAAAGAACUUCCUAUUAUAUUCAUCGAAUAGGGCGUGGAUAUCAGGUUUGGGGUCCAGCACCUCCCAAUAUGGAUCGACAACAGACAGACGUUCAAGAUCUGGUUGAGUCACCCCAAGAUCCUCAUCAGUCUGACUAGCCACAGAAGGAUUUUCACGAGUCUUAGAAUUGAUUGAAGCAUUUUCAGAAGGUUUAUGAGUCGUACAAAUAUCAGGAGAAUGUAUUUCCGAAAUCUGCUCCGAGGAGCCAUUCGGCGAUGAAAAAAAUACACCCAUCUCCCUCAACUUGUGUUGUCUCUACGCAGUUGCUUCACCAACUGGAUAAGGUCAAUUGGAGGCAACUGUCCACGAAAGAACUUCCUAUUAUAUUCAUCGAAUAGGGCGUGGAUAUCAGGUUUGGGGUCCAGCACCUCCCAAUAUGGAUCGACAACCGACAGACGCUCAAGAUCUGGUUGAGUCACCCCAAGAUCCUCAUCAGUCUGACAAGCCACAGAAGGAUUCUCACGAGUCUUAGAAUUGAUUGAAGCAUUUUCAGAAGGUUUAUGAGUCGUACAAAUAUCAGGAGAAUGUAUUUCCGAAAUCUGCUCCGAGGAGCCAUUCGGCGAUGAAAAAAAUACACCCAUCUCCCUCAACUUGUGUUGUCUCUACGCAGUUGCUUCACCAACUGGAUAAGGUCAAUUGGAGGCAACUGUCCACGAAAGAACUUCCUAUUAUAUUCAUCGAAUAGGGCGUGGAUAUCAGGUUUGGGGUCCAGCACCUCCCAAUAUGGAUCGACAACAGACAGACGUUCAAGAUCUGGUUGAGUCACCCCAAGAUCCUCAUCAGUCUGACAAGCCACAGAAGGAUUCUCACGAGUCUUAGAAUUGAUUGAAGCAUUUUCAGAAGGUUUGUGAGUCGUACAAAUAUCAGGAGAAUGUAUUUCCGAAAUCUGCUCCGAGGAGCCAUUCGGCGAUGAAAAAAAUACACCCAUCUCCCUCAACUUGUGUUGUCUCUACGCAGUUGCUUAACCAACUGGAUAAGGUCAAUUGGAGGCAACUGUCCACGAAAGAACUUCCUAUUAUAUUCAUCGAAUAGGGCGUGGAUAUCAGGUUUGGGGUCCAGCACCUCCCAAUAUGGAUCGACAACAGACAGACGUUCAAGAUCUGGUUGAGUCACCCCAAGAUCCUCAUCAGUCUGACAAGCCACAGAAGGAUUCUCACGAGUCUUAGAAUUGAUUGAAGCAUUUUCAGAAGGUUUAUGAGUCGUACAAAUAUCAGGAGAAUGUAUUUCCGAAAUCUGCUCCGAGGAGCCAUUCGGCGAUGAAAAAAAUACACCCAUCUCCCUCAACUUGUGUUGUCUCUACGCAGUUGCGUCACCAACUGGAUAAGGUUGGUUUUUCUUAUUGUGAUGUCAGAUAACGUCACAUGACAUUCUGUG